UAGUGCAAUGGAUUUAAGCUUCAUAAAUAAAGUAUUUUACUUUUGUUAGAA
rnacentral:tRNA from 1 species